UACGUAGGGGGCAAACGUUGUCCGGAAUCAUUGGGCGUAAAGAGCGUGUAGGCGGCCCGGUAAGUCCGCUGUGAAAGUCCAGGGCUCAACCCUGGGAUGCCGGUGGAUACUGUCGGGCUCGAGUCCGGAAGAGGAGUGUGGAAUUCCUGGUGUAGCGGUGAAAUGCGCAGAUAUCAGGAGGAACACCAAUGGCGAAGGCAGCACUCUGGGACGUGACUGACGCUGAGACGCGAAAGCGUGGGGAGCAAACAGG
rnacentral:rRNA from 1 species